rnacentral:rRNA from 1 species
AUAAUGGGUCAGCGACUUAUAUUCUGUAGCAAGGUUAACCGAAUAGGGGAGCCGAAGGGAAACCGAGUCUUAACUGGGCGUUAAGUUGCAGGGUAUAGACCCGAAACCCGGUGAUCUAGCCAUGGGCAGGUUGAAGGUUGGGUAACACUAACUGGAGGACCGAACCGACUAAUGUUGAAAAAUUAGCGGAUGACUUGUGGCUGGGGGUGAAAGGCCAAUCAAACCGGGAGAUAGCUGGUUCUCCCCGAAAGCUAUUUAGGUAGCGCCUCGUGAAUUCAUCUCCGGGGGUAGAGCACUGUUUCGGCAAGGGGGUCAUCCCGACUUACCAACCCGAUGCAAACUGCGAAUACCGGAGAAUGUUAUCACGGGAGACACACGGCGGGUGCUAACGUCCGUCGUGAAGAGGGAAACAACCCAGACCGCCAGCUAAGGUCCCAAAGUCAUGGUUAAGUGGGAAACGAUGUGGGAAGGCCCAGACAGCCAGGAUGUUGGCUUAGAAGCAGCCAUCAUUUAAAGAAAGCGUAAUAGCUCACUGGUCGAGUCGGCCUGCGCGGAAGAUGUAACGGGGCUAAACCAUGCACCGAAGCUGCGGCAGCGACGCUUAUGCGUUGUUGGGUAGGGGAGCGUUCUGUAAGCCUGUGAA